rnacentral:rRNA from 1 species
ACGAACGCUGGCGGCGUGCCUAACACAUGCAAGUCGAGCGAGAGAUCCUUCGGGAUGAUCCUAGCGGCGGACGGGUGAGUAACACGUGGGCAACCUGCCUCAUAGAGAGGAAUAGCCUUCCGAAAGGGAGAUUAAUACCUCAUAACAUUGCAGUUUCGCAUGGAACAGCAAUUAAAGGAGCAAUCCGCUAUGAGAUCGGGCCCGCGGCGCAUUAGCUAGUUGGUGAGGUAACGGCUCACCAAGGCGACGAUGCGUAGCCGACCUGAGAGGGUGAGUCGGCCACAGUUGGGACUGAGACGACCGGCCCAGACUCCGUACGGGAGGCAGCAGGUGGGGAAUUAUUGCAACAAGUACGGGGAAACCCUGAUGACCAACAACGCCGCGUGAGUGAUGACGGCCUUCGGGUUGUAAAGCUCUGUCUUCAGGGACGAUAAUGACGGUACCUGAGGAGGAAGCCACGGCUAACUACGUGCCAGCCGCAGC